CCACCCCUCUCUAGAACAUGGACUUUUGGACAUGCUGCAUCACUGAUCGGCAGCACGCCGCCCUCCUCUGUGGCCUCCUGUCACCCGACACCAAAGUGGGACAUGCAGGCUGGGACACUGGGCAGACCAGACCUGGAAUCUGUGGGCUGAUUGGAAACGUCACUCCUGAGGGAACGCGCGCGGCCUUUUGACAGGAGAAAUGACGGGCGUUCAUGACUUAGGGAGAAAUCGCAUGUCCCUGCGGAGCUGGAGAUGGAUUUAUCGGUGCCGCCGCUCUCCCACCACCACCGGCUUUGCAGAGUCAUCCCGGCCCAGGAUCACGAGGCGACCGGCCCUCCUGGAUCACCUGCAACGGUCAGCAGCUCAUAUUUGACUUUAUUACGCCUUUCUUUCUCGCUGGCCCUUGUCUUGCGAGAGCGUCCGCCCGUCUUGUUUUUAUUUCGACCUUCACGAGGGCGCUCGCUGCCUUCCCUGCGCUCAGGCUGCUGCCUUAAAUCCAUUCUCAGUGAGAGAAGAGGGGACGGUGGAGCUCCAAAAGGGCAGUUCCAUCAGUAUUCAGAAUCAUAAUGAGCCUUUUGUCAUUCUACCAGCAAAGUCACGAAUGCGCUACACAAUGCAACUGCAAAUGUAUUGCUCACGUACUUUUUUUUUUUACUUGAUUUGCUGCAUAUUUAUUAAAACUUCCCCCUGGGCCUCUUUGUUAUGGAGCAUGAGUAUUGAUGUGUCUCAUAAAAGCAUGAUCAGUAUUGCAACAUUGCACACGUUGCAGAGUGAUAAGAUCCGGCUCAAGGUGUGUCCUGCAGUAGUUUUUUUUUUUUUUUUAUACGCAGAGGGUGUGGCUACGAUCCUCACUGCACCAUGGCAAAACUUCCACUGGAUACAUGCGUCUGAGUGAUAGGAAUCCCGAACAGAAUCCGGAGGACGGCACCGCGGCAUCCUCGGUGUCAGCUCAUGGGCCACUUACUGUACAUAAACUGUCUCAUCCCGUGCAGCACUGUCAGCCUGCCUGCAGGGUCGCUCACCUGCCGCAUCCUCCAAGACGUCUGGGAGGGAGUUCACUUCAAACUCGACAGUGAAAGGCCCAGACCACAGCUACAGAAUGCGAACCUCAACCUACUGCCUCAGCCCCGAGACGGAAGAAGUAGCACGAGUCCAAAACGUCUCUCCAAAUUCAUCAACAGAUGCUUCUCCAUCAGGCUUCUCAACUGGCCCUGGCGAGAGCAGCUGUGCAGCUGACCUGUUUGCUCAGUCCGCCUGAGGUAUGAUGUAACCACCACCAACUUCUGGUGCAUGAAGGAAAUUCCUGUCUGUUUUUGCUCCGUUACCUCUUCAGUUUUAGGCGGGUUAAUAUUUAAAGGACCAUCACUUCAAUUAAAGCCUCCGAUUAUUAACUUCAGAUUGUGAAUCCUCCGCAGCCAGGUGAAGUUAUGAAUGGCACAGGAUGUGGGGCUUGCUGGUUGAGUGGUUGAGUACAUCCAGGGGGCGAGUUGAAAGCCCCCAGCAUGCAAACUGGCCCUUGGGUGAAGUGACCUAAAAAUGCAGUUUAGUCGCAGCUUGUGUAGCUGGUGCAGGCUCAGCCAAUCAGAUCAGACUAGUGCCUUUAGCUGAUUUGGACGUACAGUAGAUCAACGGGUGGGCUCAUCGUUGUGUUAAUAGUUAAAGGUGCUUAUUACAAACUGGUGUUUGCGAGAGAAAGAGAUGAAGCCGAUGAUUUUAAUGGUUUAAUGCAAAAAUCUGUUACAAAAUGAAUAAAAUGAUCAGGAUCAUCAUCUUCUUACAGUAGAAAACAAAACUAUAAUCUUAAGGGGCCGAGCUCUGAGGCCAUUAGUUCAUGGUGAGGCCGCCUUACUGCUCCUCUCCACUGUUCUCCCCCUCGCUGUCACUGUCUCUCCCAGGGUGUUCCGGCAUCUUAGAAUGGUCCGCUGCGUCUUUGUUCUCUUCUUUCGCACCGGCGUCCGCUGAGUCUGGCACCGAGCUUGCCUCUCCGUCUGGGUUCUCCUGCUCCAUGGGGGUUUCUUCCUGUUCCCCUGAACUCGCUGCCUCUUCCUUCUCCACAACAUCAUCUUCUUUGUCGGCCUGUUGUGGAGGUAGAGCCAGUUUCUGCUGUUGUUGCUGUUGAACCGAAAAGAAAGGAGUUGUUGCAGAGAGUAAAAUAUGAUUUAGAGAAUUAACGACGUCGAUCUCAGAUAGUAUGUUAGUAUGUUUACCUGUCUGUACAUCUGAGAGGUCUGCAUCAUGUGCAUGUACAUAUUAUACACGAGGUUGGCCAUCUCAGGCAUGUUGUUGACGAUGUGGUCUGGCUGCCCAGAAGAAUCCCUCUGUGGGGAAAGAAACCAGGAUAUGAGUUAUGAAAGAUGCCUGACAGUGAAACAUUGUAUCUAAACAGUUACUGUGCAGUUCGCCAUGACCAGCUUGUUACUAGAGAGCAAAUAUCUCUGUGCUUUGUGAUCGCUGCUCGCAUACUAUCAGAGGAGUUAAGGAUGGGGAGCUCAACAUAUUUGUAUGCAGACAGAGUCUCGGCCUAAACUGAGGCGUGCAGCGAAGAAUAUUCAGUCUGGUUCACUCUUACCUCCUAAAUACAGGGUGAUUCUCAUACAGGCCCUUUGGGCAUCAUGUCAAAGUCAACACACUGAGCGCUAUAAAACUUAACUGUGCCUGACUUUAUUGCUGUAAAACUCUCAGUAAACGUAUUAGAGUGUAAGAUGUAUUUUCCAGUGCCUGAGCAUGUCUUUUAGCAGGUUGCAGGGGGCGCAGUCGAAGAAAGGACCUCCAGACAUGACAAAGGGCAGUCCAGCACGCACUAAAACAGCUCUGACUUACUACCGGCAAUGCAAACCGAGCUGCUGCUCUGAUUGUAUGGGGACCAGGCUCUAUACUCCCAGAGCAGCCCCCACCAGAAUGCUGUGAAGGAUGCAGUCAAACGCCUUCUCCAGAUCCAUAAAAAAAAUCUGACUGGUGGGGUGAACUCUCCCAAACACCUGAACAGCCUCAGUUGAGGUUAGGAGCGGUGUUUAUGCCUCUACUCUACCCAAGCUGCGGCAUGCUUGGCACCAAUCAGCUGCUUCAACCAAGCUCAAUAGGACUCCUUCUUCAGCUUACAGCCCGUAUCCACCACUGGGUUCAGGGGUUGCUGCAGAGAGCGACACCAGAGACCAUACACCCACAGAGACAAACUAGUGCAGCCUUCAACCAAUGAGCACGGCGCCGAGGCGGACGGGGGCCAAUCAGGAGGCACGAUAGCCCGUGGACACGGCUGCGCUGAGAGACACCCACCUGGGCUGUGCAGUGACAUGGCAGGGCAAAGUGGACGUGCGCCGUUUGUGUGUGCGUGCUCAUGUCACAACGCGUCUGCAUCGGUGCCUCCCUCCCCCUACACGUGAGCGUGCCCGCGUGCAUCAGCAGGAAGGCUCCCCCUGUCAGCGCGAGGGGUCAGCUUGUCAUGAGGACGGCUGCGGUGGGAGGCCGGGGUUCAGGAGCAGGACGAGGACUGUGAGGUCAAGAUCAGCGGUGCGCCAGUGGUUCCAGUUAGUGCACAGCACAAACACUGGGUCCCACAUUACUCGCACCAGUGUGAAAGAAAUGGAUGCCUUCGACAGCUGGCCCACAUGGUGUGGGCUGAAGAAAGCAGAGUGUAAUAUCCAGCAUAAGACAAGAUCAAAUGGAUGAUACUGGGAGGAGCGCACACGCUGCCAACAAGACAAACUACCAGCAUCUCUGGCCGCACUGCUCAUCCCCUGCUACAUCCACUCACGGCUCUAUCCGGGAGAUGAGCACAGAACCAAAAGUGAGUUUUUAAAUCUUUCUCUGACAGCUAAAAAUGACCAAGCCCAAAGGGAAUGACUUAUAACACACACAAGGGUCUUGUGCAGACUAGGGUUUGUAUAUCACAAGUACUGUGGAGGAACUCAACCUCAUUUGUCCAGUAUUAAACCACGCAGCAUGUUGAGUGUGAGUAAGUGCGAGCUCUUUAGGAUGUAAUGGCCGCCAAAGAGUGAGGGGCCAUUCCCUUACUAAUCAAUUUAGCGAGAUGAAGAACGAGGUGGCGGUGACAAGCGGGAGCAGAGCGAUAAGGAGAUGAGGCUGAAAGCGGAAUUAGAGCAGACAGCGAUGGGAAAUGAAACGGGGGAGACGUGAAACCUACUGCUGCCGUUUGCUUAAGCAUCGCGCCUGUUAAUGUUACGCGUUCGCCUUUGAUCGCGGCGGCGCUCUUUGUCUGAGAUUCUCAACCCAAUCAUCAGAGCACAAUAGAUUCCCUUAACCAGGACAAAAGCUACCUUCACUCCAAAGACACGCUCCUGUCCUGAAGCACCCAUUACACAUCCUGCCGCAAAUUAAGCGCUUUUCCUUUAGCAAACUUCACAGAGUAGUUACACAUGACAAAGAGACAGAAAGCCUCCUGAGAGCUGCCGUCUCAAGUGGGUUAUUUCUGCUGCAUUGUUUGCCUGGAGGAGGUCUAUCUUAAGUGUACGUCCUAGUAUAUGUGUAAUAGAAUAUCCAGUAAAUGUGCCCGUUUUGGCUCGUGGAACCUCGUGCCGCUCAUGCAUUGGAGUAAUUACCUCAGGUGUCCCACAGCUUUGGUGCGGACCAGUGACAGGAUGAUGUAGUCGUUCUGCUGACCCUGGAACCUGUCCACCGUCGUCACCUGCAGACACACACGCAGUCAUUAGUCAACAAACUCACUCCACAUGAAUGUCUAUAAAUACACACGUCAGUGUGAGGAUAUGCUAACUAAGCACAGGCAGAGGACGUGUUGUGCAAAGUAAAUGAGUUUUAGGUGGAGGGAUGUGGUCGACAUGUGUAGAAACACGAGGACAGCUCUCCAUCAAACAGUGCCUCUUUUUUUACAUUCAUUUUUGAGGGAGGAACGAUGGGCUGAGUUAUCUUGUUCUUGCUGUUAUCACAGGCCCACAUAGGCAGCCAGAGGGGUUAAUACGGCUUAGAGGGCUUUUACUACCACUAGCCUCUUACCUGGGCCCAUGAGACUCACAGCCAAGGCACCGGGGGCCAAGCUGUGUGAACGGAUCAGAGAUUAUGAAGAAGUGGUUCACUGAGAUGUUCAAUCACGUCAGCAAAUGUGCUUUACUGCUAUAGUAAAAUAAUUGUGAUGAGAGGUCUACCUAUUUUAGUACAAGAGUUAUACAGGUUUUUGACCUCCACUGGCAAUGUUACAGGAUGCAUCUUUGUCAUUUCAAUGUUCAAUUGCAUUAACUAUGACUCUAGAGAUGCAUUUCCUCAAGAAGCAUCCAAUGACUGAUCUUCAAGUUCUACAUCUAAUAAAGCAUUUUGAAUUCACCAAAGCUCUGGUUUCUUUCUACUCCAUCAGAACGAACUGGCUUGUAGAUAUUGUAGCUAAGGUUAGUGUAUUAUACUAAACUAGCAGGUGAUAUUGAUAAAAAGUAAUCAAGGGAUAUUACAAUACCUGAGUAAUGCAUUUUAAUGUUAAGCAACAUUAAACUACGUCAGGAAAAACAUAAAAUCACUACUUCAUUACACUUGCAACCUACUAGUAAAUGUCAUGGCAACCAAUUCCAUUAGCCUUGACAUACAUAUGGUAAUUCUAUCUUUAAAAAGGUUACAAAAAAAGCAUGCACAGUCCUUUGCCGAAGAAAAGGACAGAAGGAAACACU